rnacentral:misc_RNA from 1 species
GGCUAUACAAGAGGAUAAUUCAAUAAUUCAUCAACAGCCGGCGCCGCCGUCAGCUCCGACGCCGGUGGAGUUUAAAGGGGCAAAUUCCGGGUCAUUAUUGCAUACUGUAUUGGCGUUGGUCUUAUGGCUUGGCUCCGUCCAUUUCAACUUCUUAAUACUUAUUGCUUCCUUUAUUUUUCUUCCUUUCUCUAAAACAGUCAUAGUUAUAGGAAUAUUGCUUAUACUUAUUCUCAUUCCGAUUGAUGAGAAAAAUAAUUUUGGGCGAAGAUUAGCUAGGUACAUCUGUAAGCAUGCUUGUGGCUAUUUUCCGGUCCAUUUGUAUGUAGAGGAUAUCAAAGCAUUUGAUCCUAAUGAGGCUUACGUUUUUGGGUAUGAACCACAUUCUGUUUGGCCUAUUGGGGCGGUUGCCCUUGCUGAUCUUACAGGUUUCAUGCCUCUCCCAAAAAUCAAAGUGCUUGCGAGUACUGCUGUGUUUUAUACACCUUUCUUGCGGCAUAUCUGGACAUGGUUAGGACUUGCACCAAUAACAAGGAAAAAUUUUAAAUCCCUCUUGGCAUCUGGUUACAGCUGCAUCAUAGUGCCAGGUGGAGUUCAAGAAACAUUCUAUAUGGAACACGGUUCAGAGAUUGCUUACCUUCAAAAAAGAAAAGGAUUUGUACGAAUUGCAAUAGAGACGGGCAAACCACUGGUUCCAGUUUUCUGUUUUGGUCAGACUGCUAUCUAUAAAUGGUGGAAGCCACGCGGAAAACUGUACUUGGAAUUCUCUAGGCUCAUUAAAUUCACUCCAAUUCUUUUUUGGGGUGUGCUGGGCUCUCCGGUACCUUUUCGACGACCCAUGCAUGUUGUAGUUGGUAGGCCAAUUAUGCUGGAGAAAAAUCCAGAGCCAACCGUUGAAGAGGUUUCUGAAGUGCAUAGUCGAUUUACUGAAGCAAUGCAAGAACUAUUUGAAAGGCACAAAAAGAGGGUUGGUUAUGAAGAUCUACCACUGAGAGUUGUUUAAUGUUUAUAUGAUAACUCUGCAUUAAUAUGUAUCUAAAUCUUCUGGUUGUAUUACUGCUUUUAUUCAUUAUCUUUUCUUGUUUCCUCCAUCUUCUUAUGUGCAUCUAACUCUAGUCAUGGAGGAGAAAAG